ACGCGGCGGCGUGCCUAAUACAUGCAAGUCGAACGAACUUUCUUACACCGAAUGCUUGCAUUCACCGUAAGAAGUUGAGUGGCGGACGGGUGAGUAACACGUGGGUAACCUGCCUAAAAGAAGGGGAUAACACUUGGAAACAGGUGCUAAUACCGUAUAUCUCUAAGGAUCGCAUGAUCCUUAGAUGAAAGAUGGUUCUGCUAUCGCUUUUAGAUGGACCCGCGGCGUAUUAACUAGUUGGUGGGGUAACGGCCUACCAAGGUGAUGAUACGUAGCCGAACUGAGAGGUUGAUCGGCCACAUUGGGACUGAGACACGGCCCAAACUCCUACGGGAGGCAGCAGUAGGGAAUCUUCCACAAUGGACGCAAGUCUGAUGGAGCAACGCCGCGUGAGUGAAGAAGGUCUUCGGAUCGUAAAACUCUGUUGUUAGAGAAGAACACGAGUGAGAGUAACUGUUCAUUCGAUGACGGUAUCUAACCAGCAAGUCACGGCUAACUACGUGCCAGCAGCCGCGGUAAUACGUAGGUGGCAAGCGUUGUCCGGAUUUAUUGGGCGUAAAGGGAACGCAGGCGGUCUUUUAAGUCUGAUGUGAAAGCCUUCGGCUUAACCGGAGUAGUGCAUUGGAAACUGGAAGACUUGAGUGCAGAAGAGGAGAGUGGAACUCCAUGUGUAGCGGUGAAAUGCGUAGAUAUAUGGAAGAACACCAGUGGCGAAAGCGGCUCUCUGGUCUGUAACUGACGCUGAGGUUCGAAAGCGUGGGUAGCAAACAGGAUAA
rnacentral:rRNA from 2 species